rnacentral:tRNA from 1 species
GUUUCUAUAGUUGAAUAACAACGAUGAUUUUUCAUGUCAUU